UACGAGAGGCCCAAACGUUAUUCGGAUUUACUGGGCUUAAAGAGUUCGUAGGCGGCGCAGAAAGUAGGGUGUGAAAGCCCUCGGCUCAACCGAGGAAUUGCGCUCUAAACUACUGUGCUUGAGGAACCUAGAGGUGAGCAGAACUGAUGGUGGAGCGGUGAAAUGCGUUGAUAUCAUCAGGAAUACCGGAGGCGAAGGCGGCUCACUGGGGGUUUUCUGACGCUGAGGAACGAAAGCCAGGGGAGCGAACGGG
rnacentral:rRNA from 1 species